AUCCAGCUGACAAGUUCUAAAUAGGACGAAACAAGCAUCCUGGAU
rnacentral:hammerhead_ribozyme from 1 species